UACGUAGGGUCCGAGCGUUGUCCGGAAUUAUUGGGCGUAAAGGGCUCGUAGGCGGUUUGUCGCGUCGGGAGUGAAAACUCAGGGCUCAACCCUGAGCGUGCUUCCGAUACGGGCAGACUAGAGGUAUGCAGGGGAGAACGGAAUUCCUGGUGUAGCGGUGAAAUGCGUAGAUAUCUGGAGGAACACCGGUGGCGAAGGCGGCGUUCUGGACUGCAACUGACACUGAGGAACGAAAGCCAGGGGAGCAAACGGG
rnacentral:rRNA from 1 species